rnacentral:tRNA from 1 species
GGGAGGAUUCGCUCAGUGUUAGAGCACUUGCCUCUAAUGCAUGAAGCUCUGGGUUUGAUCCCCAGUUACCCCC